rnacentral:rRNA from 1 species
AUUGAACGCUGGCGGCAUGCUUUACACAUGCAAGUCGAACGGCAGCGCGGGCUUCGGCCUGGCGGCGAGUGGCGAACGGGUGAGUAAUACAUCGGAACGUGCCCAGUAGUGGGGGAUAGCUCGGCGAAAGCCGGAUUAAUACCGCAUACGACCUGAGGGUGAAAGCGGGGGAUCUUCGGACCUCGCGCUAUUGGAGCGGCCGAUGGCAGAUUAGCUAGUUGGUGGGGUAAAGGCCUACCAAGGCGACGAUCUGUAGCUGGUCUGAGAGGACGACCAGCCACACUGGGACUGAGACACGGCCCAGACUCCUACGGGAGGCAGCAGUGGGGAAUUUUGGACAAAGGGCGAAAGCCUGAUCCAGCAAUGCCGCGUGUGUGAUGAAGGCCUUCGGGUUGUAAGGCGCUUUUGGCGGGAACGAAAAGGACUGUGCCAAUACCACGGUUCGAUGACGGUACCCGCAGAAUAAGCACCGGCUAACUACGUG